AGUGAACGCUGGCGGUAGGCCUAACACAUGCAAGUCGAACGGCAGCACAGUAAGAGCUUGCUCUUACGGGUGGCGAGUGGCGGACGGGUGAGGAAUACAUCGGAAUCUACUUUUUCGUGGGGGAUAACGUAGGGAAACUUACGCUAAUACCGCAUACGACCUACGGGUGAAAGCAGGGGAUCUUCGGACCUUGCGCGAUUGAAUGAGCCGAUGUCGGAUUAGCUAGUUGGCGGGGUAAAGGCCCACCAAGGCGACGAUCCGUAGCUGGUCUGAGAGGAUGAUCAGCCACACUGGAACUGAGACACGGUCCAGACUCCUACGGGAGGCAGCAGUAGGGAAUAUUGGACAAUGGGCGCAAGCCUGAUCCAGCCAUCCCGCGUGGGUGAAGAAGGCCUUCGGAUUGUAAAGCCCUUUUGUUGGGAAAGAAAAGCAGCAGGUUAAUACCCCGCUGUUCUGACGGUACCCAAAGAAUAAGCACCGGCUAACUUCGUG
rnacentral:rRNA from 1 species